AAUGUAACUUUCUGUUCCGAGGAUGUUAGGGCGACGUUAAAAGGGCUCAGAUAAUAAGCUGUUCCAAGGACGUGUGGACUUGAAAGGACAAAGACCACCCACCGAACUAAGCCAACCUUAGAGAACCUAAUGAAAUUAGCAUUGAAUUUCAAUGUGAAGGUGACAACCUACACCCCGGAAGGAUGACUUUUGACUAUACCAGCCAGAAUAUAGCAUGAGCUUAAAAGUAUGGCAACUUGGUAUGAACUUUGAACCCUUAUUCACUCCAGAAGUGAGAAGCCGUUGAGUUAGCAGCAGUCACUAAACGUGGGCUUGGAGAGGACGGACAGAGUAUCCAUUCUACCAUGCUCCAGUUCACCACUAGACAUUCUUCAGAGGGCCAGAGAACCAUAAAGGACAAACCGGCCUUCCAUCGACGACCAAUCUACCGAAGCGCAGCUCAGAACCAUGAUUCCUGGAACAAUCCCUGUGAAGUCGGAAUGCUAGAAAACGGGCGAUGAGUCCUUCUACGUAGACCCUGCAGAUGGCAACUUACAAUUCCUAACCUUGACGCAGCAGAAGCAUAGAGAAUUCCUUAAGGGAGGUAACAUUUUCUUCUCAUCACCGUGCAAGAUAUCUCCAAGUCUGCAUUUUACCAACUCCCUGCCCUGUCCCAAAUGGUCACCACAGAACUUAAUUUCAAACCCAAACAACCGUGAUGAAGGCCCAUGCACCACAGAGUAAAAAAGAUCGGAUCAAGGACAGAUCAGCAUAGAUUUGAUCAAUUCCAAUAUUUGUGCUUAGGUAAAUAUUGUAUGUAUUUAUUUUGUUUAAAAUCAGUAUGUGCAUGGUCAUUAUGUUAUAUAGGUUAAUUUAAUUGUAUUAUGUUCUAUAUUUAUGGUAAACAUCUUGCACACCUAAAUGCCAUCCCGAGACAGAUUAUGCCUAUUAUAAUUUAUUAUGACGAUAGGCCAGUAUUGAUAGCAAGCAUUACAUCUAGUAACCUUUGACCACACUCUCCUUAUCCUGCUUCAGUAUGUGAUAACAUGUCCUAUGUUUAUUUAUUAUCAUAAUGAACCACUGACUGUAAUUCUGUCCUAAAACACACACUUUACAUAAUACUGGUUGUAUAUUUUCUGAGAUUGAAAAAGCUACAAAUUGGGUGAUUUGUAUAGUUCCCCUAUGACACUGUAUAUUCUAAUAUCCUCAGUAUAGGUCAUUAGUCCAGUAAAAACCUUAGGUUUGUCCCAUUCAUCUGCAUAUAUCUAAUCUGUCAAAUUUAAAUAUUCAAAUAAACAGAUUUAUGAAAUAUUAUUUCAUAAUGUUAUGCAUUUGGCUC